AGUGAACGCUGGCGGUAGGCCUAACACAUGCAAGUCGAACGGCAGCACAGUAAGAGCUUGCUCUUACGGGUGGCGAGUGGCGGACGGGUGAGGAAUACAUCGGAAUCUACUUUUUCGUGGGGGAUAACGUAGGGAAACUUACGCUAAUACCGCAUACGACCUACGGGUGAAAGCAGGGGAUCUUCGGACCUUGCGCGAUUGAAUGAGCCGAUGUCGGAUUAGCUAGUUGGCGGGGUAAAGGCCCACCAAGGCGACGAUCCGUAGCUGGCCUGAGAGGAUGAUCAGCCACACUGGAACUGAGACACGGUCCAGACUCCUACGGGAGGCAGCAGUGGGGAAUAUUGGACAAUGGGCGCAAGCCUGAUCCAGCCAUACCGCGUGGGUGAAGAAGGCCUUCGGGUUGUAAAGCCCUUUUGUUGGGAAAGAAAAGCAGCAGGUUAAUACCCCGCUGUUCCGACGGUACCCAAAGAAUAAGCACCGGCUAACUUCGUG
rnacentral:rRNA from 1 species